rnacentral:rRNA from 1 species
UACCAGCUCUCCGAGUGGUAGGGAUGUUUAUUGGGCUUAAAGCGUCCGUAGCCGGCUUAGCAAGUCUCCUGUUAAAUUCAGCGACCUAAUCGUUGAGCCGCGGGAGAUACUACUAGGCUAGGAGGCGGGAGAGGUCAACGGUACUUCCGGGGUAGGGGUGAAAUCCUAUAAUCCCGGGAGGACCACCAGUGGCGAAGGCUGUUGACUAGAACGCGCUCGACGGUGAGGGACGAAAGCUGGGGGAAGCGAACCGGAUUAGAUACCCGGGUAGUCCCAGCUGUAAACGAUGCGAGCUAGGUGUUGGGGUGGCUACGUGCCACUUCAGUGCCGCAGGGAAGCCAUUAAGCUCGCCGCCUGGGGAGUACGGCCGCAAGGCUGAAACUUAAAGGAAUUGGCGGGGGAGCACCACAAGGCGUGAAGCUUGCGGUUC